rnacentral:lncRNA from 1 species
CAUGAAUGGUCUACAUGCCCCGGGUGUGAAUUCUCGCUCUGCCACUUACCAGGUAUUAGCUAACCUCUCUGUGCCUUCAUCUCCCCACUUGUGGAAUGACUGCACCUGCGUUGUCGUGGUCGAACCUGCAAACAAUCCACGAGGAAGCCGGUCACAAAGGACCACGGGUUACCUGAUUCCAUUUGCGUGAGAUGUCCAGAAUGGCAAAGUUAUAGAGACAGAAGGUGUAUGGUCAUGCGCCCAGCACGUCCCCUCUGCCUGCCCCGUCAGGCCUGGGGGUCACAGCAGCUUCCGACUGUCACAGGCCCUUGGGGCUUCACCAUUUAUGAGGUUUCCGUUCCCUUCAUCUUGCCCUCGCCUUUCUGAACAGCCCCAUCCUUUAACUCCCUGCAGUUUCCCCUUUUGAGAGUGCCUCUCCUUCCUGCCAGGGCCCUGGCUGCACAGAAGGGCCUCUCCAGAAGCAGAGCAGAACCUG